UGGCCGUAAACGAUGUGGACUUGGUGUUGGAAUGGCUCCGAGCUGCUCCAGUGCCGAAGGGAAGCUGUUAAGUCCACCGCCUGGGAAGUACGGUCGCAAGACUGAAACUUAAGGAUUGGCGGGGAGCACCACAACGCGUGGAGCCUGCGGUUUAAUUGGAUUCAACGCCGGACAUCUCACCAGGGCGACAGCAGAAUGAUGGCCAGGUUGAUGACCUUGCUUGACAAGCUGAGAGGAGGUGCAUGGCGUGUGACU
rnacentral:rRNA from 1 species